rfam:Salmo salar isolate Sally breed double haploid chromosome ssa13, whole genome shotgun sequence.
GGUGCUGUGGCUUAGUUGGUUAAAGCUCCUGUCUAGUAAACAGGAGAUCCUGAGUUUGAAUCUCAGCAGAGCCU